AGUGAACGCUGGCGGUAGGCCUAACACAUGCAAGUCGAACGGCAGCACAGUAAGAGCUUGCUCUUACGGGUGGCGAGUGGCGGACGGGUGAGGAAUACAUCGGAAUCUACUUUUUCGUGGGGGAUAACGUAGGGAAACUUACGCUAAUACCGCAUACGACCUACGGGUGAAAGCAGGGGAUCUUCGGACCUUGCGCGAUUGAAUGAGCCGAUGUCGGAUUAGCUAGUUGGCGGGGUAAAGGCCCACCAAGGCGACGAUCCGUAGCUGGUCUGAGAGGAUGAUCAGCGACACUGGAACUGAGACACGGUCCAGACUCCUACGGGAGGCAGCAGUGGGGAAUAGUGGACAAAGGGCGCAAGCCUGAUCCAGCCAUACCGCGUGGGUGAAGAAGGCCUUCGGGUUGUAAAGCCCUUUUGUUGGGAAAGAAAAGCAGCAGGUUAAUACCCCGCUGUUCUGACGGUACCCAAAGAAUAAGCACCGGCUAACUUCGUG
rnacentral:rRNA from 1 species